ACAUUACCGAGUGAGCGCGCUAUCUCCCUGUGAAGUACCCACCCUUUGCCCGGGGGGAAUCGACGGUGCGCUUUUUGGCCCUCCCCCGCCAGAGGAUCCAUAACCCUGUUUCUAUUUUGUUCUUUCAGAGUAAAACAAGCAAAUAAAUUAAAACUUUCAACAACGGAUCUCUUGGCUCUGGCAUCGAUGAAGAACGCAGCGAAAUGCGAUAAGUAAUGUGAAUUGCAGAAUUCAGUGAAUCAUCGAAUCUUUGAACGCACAUUGCGCCCGCCAGUAUUCUGGCGGGCAUGCCUGUUCGAGCGUCAUUACAACCCUCAGGCCCCCGGGCCUGGCGUUGGGGAUCGGCGGAGCCCUUUGUGGGCACACGCCGUCCCCCAAAUACAGUGGCGGUCCCGCCGCAGCUUCCAUCGCGUAGUAGCUAACACCUCGCGACUGGAGAGCGGCGCGGCCACGCCGUAAAACACCCAACUCUUCUGAAGUUGACCUCGAAUCAGGUAGGAAUACCCGCUGAACUUAAGCAUAUCAAUAA
rnacentral:rRNA from 1 species